AGCGUACACGGUGGAUGCCCUGGCAGUCAGAGGCGAUGAAGGACGUGCUAAUCUGCGAUAAGCGUCGGUAAGGUGAUAUGAACCGUUAUAACCGGCGAUUUCCGAAUGGGGAAACCCAGUGUGUUUCGACACACUAUCAUUAACUGAAUCCAUAGGUUAAUGAGGCGAACCGGGGGAACUGAAACAUCUAAGUACCCCGAGGAAAAGAAAUCAACCGAGAUUCCCCCAGUAGCGGCGAGCGAACGGGGAGCAGCCCAGAGCCUGAAUCAGUGUGUGUGUUAGUGGAAGCGUCUGGAAAGGCGCGCGAUACAGGGUGACAGCCCCGUACACAAAAAUGCACAUGCUGUGAGCUCGAUGAGUAGGGCGGGACACGUGGUAUCCUGUCUGAAUAUGGGGGGACCAUCCUCCAAGGCUAAAUACUCCUGACUGACCGAUAGUGAACCAGUACCGUGAGGGAAAGGCGAAAAGAACCCCGGCGAGGGGAGUGAAAAAGAACCUGAAACCGUGUACGUACAAGCAGUGGGAGCACGCUUCGGCGUGUGACUGCGUACCUUUUGUAUAAUGGGUCAGCGACUUAUAUUCUGUAGCAAGGUUAACCGAAUAGGGGAGCCGAAGGGAAACCGAGUCUUAACUGGGCGUUAAGUUGCAGGGUAUAGACCCGAAACCCGGUGAUCUAGCCAUGGGCAGGUUGAAGGUUGGGUAACACUAACUGGAGGACCGAACCGACUAAUGUUGAAAAAUUAGCGGAUGACUUGUGGCUGGGGGUGAAAGGCCAAUCAAACCGGGAGAUAGCUGGUUCUCCCCGAAAGCUAUUUAGGUAGCGCCUCGUGAAUUCAUCUCCGGGGGUAGAGCACUGUUUCGGCAAGGGGGUCAUCCCGACUUACCAACCCGAUGCAAACUGCGAAUACCGGAGAAUGUUAUCACGGGAGACACACGGCGGGUGCUAACGUCCGUCGUGAAGAGGGAAACAACCCAGACCGCCAGCUAAGGUCCCAAAGUCAUGGUUAAGUGGGAAACGAUGUGGGAAGGCCCAGACAGCCAGGAUGUUGGCUUAGAAGCAGCCAUCAUUUAAAGAAAGCGUAAUAGCUCACUGGUCGAGUCGGCCUGCGCGGAAGAUGUAACGGGGCUAAACCAUGCACCGAAGCUGCGGCAGCGACACUGUGUGUUGUUGGGUAGGGGAGCGUUCUGUAAGCCUGUGAAGGUGUACUGUGAGGUAUGCUGGAGGUAUCAGAAGUGCGAAUGCUGACAUAAGUAACGAUAAAGCGGGUGAAAAGCCCGCUCGCCGGAAGACCAAGGGUUCCUGUCCAACGUUAAUCGGGGCAGGGUGAGUCGACCCCUAAGGCGAGGCCGAAAGGCGUAGUCGAUGGGAAACAGGUUAAUAUUCCUGUACUUGGUGUUACUGCGAAGGGGGGACGGAGAAGGCUAUGUUGGCCGGGCGACGGUUGUCCCGGUUUAAGCGUGUAGGCUGGUUUUCCAGGCAAAUCCGGAAAAUCAAGGCUGAGGCGUGAUGACGAGGCACUACGGUGCUGAAGCAACAAAUGCCCUGCUUCCAGGAAAAGCCUCUAAGCAUCAGGUAACAUCAAAUCGUACCCCAAACCGACACAGGUGGUCAGGUAGAGAAUACCAAGGCGCUUGAGAGAACUCGGGUGAAGGAACUAGGCAAAAUGGUGCCGUAACUUCGGGAGAAGGCACGCUGAUAUGUAGGUGAAGCGACUUGCUCGUGGAGCUGAAAUCAGUCGAAGAUACCAGCUGGCUGCAACUGUUUAUUAAAAACACAGCACUGUGCAAACACGAAAGUGGACGUAUACGGUGUGACGCCUGCCCGGUGCCGGAAGGUUAAUUGAUGGGGUUAGCGCAANGCUGCAACUGUUUAUUAAAAACACAGCACUGUGCAAACACGAAAGUGGACGUAUACGGUGUGACGCCUGCCCGGUGCCGGAAGGUUAAUUGAUGGGGUUAGCCGCAAGGCGAAGCUCUUGAUCGAAGCCCCGGUAAACGGCGGCCGUAACUAUAACGGUCCUAAGGUAGCGAAAUUCCUUGUCGGGUAAGUUCCGACCUGCACGAAUGGCGUAAUGAUGGCCAGGCUGUCUCCACCCGAGACUCAGUGAAAUUGAACUCGCUGUGAAGAUGCAGUGUACCCGCGGCAAGACGGAAAGACCCCGUGAACCUUUACUAUAGCUUGACACUGAACAUUGAGCCUUGAUGUGUAGGAUAGGUGGGAGGCUUUGAAGUGUGGACGCCAGUCUGCAUGGAGCCGACCUUGAAAUACCACCCUUUAAUGUUUGAUGUUCUAACGUUGACCCGUAAUCCGGGUUGCGGACAGUGUCUGGUGGGUAGUUUGACUGGGGCGGUCUCCUCCUAAAGAGUAACGGAGGAGCACGAAGGUUGGCUAAUCCUGGUCGGACAUCAGGAGGUUAGUGCAAUGGCAUAAGCCAGCUUGACUGCGAGCGUGACGGCGCGAGCAGGUGCGAAAGCAGGUCAUAGUGAUCCGGUGGUUCUGAAUGGAAGGGCCAUCGCUCAACGGAUAAAAGGUACUCCGGGGAUAACAGGCUGAUACCGCCCAAGAGUUCAUAUCGACGGCGGUGUUUGGCACCUCGAUGUCGGCUCAUCACAUCCUGGGGCUGAAGUAGGUCCCAAGGGUAUGGCUGUUCGCCAUUUAAAGUGGUACGCGAGCUGGGUUUAGAACGUCGUGAGACAGUUCGGUCCCUAUCUGCCGUGGGCGCUGGAGAACUGAGGGGGGCUGCUCCUAGUACGAGAGGACCGGAGUGGACGCAUCACUGGUGUUCGGGUUGUCAUGCCAAUGGCACUGCCCGGUAGCUAAAUGCGGAAGAGAUAAGUGCUGAAAGCAUCUAAGCACGAAACUUGCCCCGAGAUGAGUUCU
rnacentral:rRNA from 1 species